UACGAAGGGGGCGAGCGUUGUUCGGAUUUACUGGGCGUAAAGGGCGCGUAGGCGGCCACCGCAAGUCGGUUGUGAAAUCUCUGGGCUUAACCCAGAAAGGUCAACCGAUACUGCGGGGCUAGAGUGCAGAAGGGGCAACUGGAAUUCUCGGUGUAGCGGUGAAAUGCGUAGAUAUCGGCAGGAACACCCAGGGGGAAACCAGCCGACUGGGCAUCUACUGACGCUGAGGUGCGAGAGCGUGGGGAGCGAACCGG
rnacentral:rRNA from 1 species